AAUCAGAAUAAUCGUUAAUAUCUUCACAUGGCUUGACUAGCAAAAGCUGUGUAGCUUGCCAACAUAGUCAUAUAUGACGUCCUGAUUUAUUUUGAAUUACCACAAGGGGGAACCUGCAUCUUUCCAGUCAUUUCGAAAUCCUAAAACACUAUGUAUUCCAAACUAAAGACGACAGGUAGAGGAGAUGCCUGAUGGUGAUCCAAUAAAAGUUCUUGUUUCUUAACUAAAUGUAUUCAACAAUGUUUUAGUGACAUUUUAAGAGUUUUAACUACAUUUUGUUGAUUAUUGGGAUAAUAAAGUAACUUGCAAUUAUUUUGGCAGGGAUGAUCAGGACAUGAAAUCAUAUCUUCCCAUGCUUACCCACGUCCAUUAUUUACAGCAUGUCGGGGCAGAUAUUACAUUGUACUUCAGUGCAUCCAGCCAUAAUGCACUGAUGGUGUAAAGUGAAAGGUUAUUGUCUGUUGACGUGGAUUUAUUAUGUUAUUAUUAUAUUCUUAAAGAUAACAUGAAAUCAUGUUUCUUUCUGUGUAUUACAAUUAAGUUCAUUGUAUUUACUAUUGUUGCCUCUGUGUAAUGUUCUGCUUUUCUCUUUCAGUGAGGAACUCUUCACUUCGUUCAUUGAGCUUGCAUGCAGCUCUCUCCACCAGCAGAGCAGCAGCGGAGCCAGCUUGUAAGAGCAAACUUAAAUCAGGUGGGAGUACGGCAGGAUUAUUCUCUAAUCUGAGGAAGAAGCUAGGUGCCCUGAAGAACCCACAUCAGAUGCCUCCAGAGCCACAGGAUUUGUUGUCCAGUUGUAAUGAAGAUUGCACUGCACCCAAACAAACACCCAGAGACCCUCUGCUGCAGUUGGUCUCCCUCCAGAAGGCGUCUGGCUGCUGGGUGCUAGAUCCAGCUCUGGCUGCUGCACUGGGAAAGACCAGGAAGAAGGUGGAAAAAAGGAAACCUUCAUCGGUGGGUUAUUGUCAAAGUCAAUAACACAAGAGAAAAAUAAGUCUAAGUUUAAAACAAAUGAAGUACUAAAACACAUGUAACUAAAUCAACACCGCAUAAAACAAAACCAAAUCAAAUGAACAUGGGGAUUAGUCAGACAAAAGAUACAUCACUGCAUGAAAAAAAGUCUGGAAAUCUGGGCCCAGAGUACUGGUGGUACUCGAGCACUUAAGCACCCUCGGAGCUGGCACCAAUGUCUGGUUUUAUAUAGUAGCUACCUGAGG
rnacentral:lncRNA from 15 species